AUUGGAAUUCUAAUUGGAAUUUGGAAUUCCUAUUGGAAUUCCAAUUGGAGCCAAUAGGAAUGAAAUUCCAAUUGGAAUUCCAAUAGGCAUUCCAACAGGAAUUAACAGGAAUUCCAAUAGGAAUUCCUAUAGGAAUUAAAUUCCAAUAGGAAUUC